UCAACCUGUCAACAACCGUCGACCAAAAAAACAGUUUGUUGAGUUUUAGAUCACCGCGUCAAAGCUUGGUAUCCGGAGAGCGUAAAAAUCUGGAAAACAACAAAAUUUUGAGCAACGAAUCUUCCAGAUUAAUAGAGCAGAACCAACAUCUGGAACUACCGCAGAAGAGGAAUAUAAAUAACCGGAAAAAUGUUCUCCUGAAGUUCCCCUCCUCCAUGAUCUGUUUGGUUGAUUUGGUCUACCGUCGCCACCUGAACUUGGUAAUCAUGUGCAUAAGAAGUAAACAAUAUGCCCGGAACCGGGAAGUUUGCGCAGCAGGGACAAUCAAGCGCUGUGCGAAUAUAUUCUAUAGACAUCGGUGGUCAACGUUGUUCCUGGUCGGGCGACCUUAUGUGGAUGAAAGUUCGACUUGUGUUCACCAAGUGCAGGCCAUAGGAUGAAUGAUGUGGAGGAUUCCACGGUUUAACUUUAAUGUAAUCAUUAAAUAUAAUUAAAUAAAGAUGUUUAUGGGUAAA